rnacentral:rRNA from 1 species
CCUACGGGGGGCAGCAGUGGGGAAUUUUGGACAAUGGGCGAAAGCCUGAUCCAGCAAUGCCGCGUGCAGGACGAAGGCCUUCGGGUUGUAAACUGCUUUUGUACGGAGCGAAAAGGUCUCCUCUAAUACGGGGGAUCCAUGACGGUACCGUAAGAAUAAGCACCGGCUAACUACGUGCCAGCAGCCGCGGUAAUACGUAGGGUGCAAGCGUUAAUCGGAAUUACUGGGCGUAAAGCGUCCGCAGGCGGUUCUAUAAGACAGAUGUGAAAUCCCCGGGCUCAACCUGGGAACUGCAUUUGUGACUGUAGAGCUAGAGUACGGCAGAGGGGGAUGGAAUUCCGCGUGUAGCAGUGAAAUGCGUAGAUAUGCGGAGGAACACCGAUGGCGAAGGCAAUCCCCUGGGCCUGUACUGACGCUCAUGGACGAAAGCGUGGGGAGCAAACAGGAUUAGAUACCCCGGUAGUC